GGCACAGUGGCUGCCUUCCAGGAGAGGGUGUUAAGGAGCACCCGACUGAAGUUGCAGUCCUUUUAGUGAUCUGGCAGGAGUACAAAGUGUUACUUUGACCACCUGAUCAACUUCCUCCUUUAACACCCUCCCUCUUGUUCACCCUCCUCCAGCCAUCCUGUUCUUUCUUUUUCUCUCAAACUCCAGGUGUGCUCCUGUUUCAGUGUGUCUGCACCUUUUGUCCCCUCUGCCUGAAACACAUCUUCCUGCUCCACAGAACUGCCUCCUUCCCACCCUGCAAGUCUCAGCCAGACGUCUUCAUCUCAGAGAGGCUUCCCUGUCUCCUCUUUCCUUCCCACUCCUGCAACUCUCACCAGCACCGUGCAACAAACAGAACUUUCUGCAGCGAUUGAAAUAUUCUUUAUCUGUAACAUUCAAUGCAGUGGCUACUAUCCAGGAGACUACUGAGCCUCAGAAGGUGGCAAGUGUGACUACAGAACUAGUAUUUCUCACUCGUGGCUGAAAGUCAGCUGUCCUAUCAGAGGCAGAAGAGAGGUUGCUCGCAGAAAAGCCGCCACAGGGAUGGUGCAUUCUUUGAAGUACUUUUGGACGCCUGGCAGGUUUCCAGAUCUGGAGGUCAGAAGCGUAAGUCUAAAAUCAGAAGUCUAACCUCAAGGUGUUGGCUGCUCUGCAUGUCUUCUGGACACUUCGGGAAGAAUCUGCUUCCGCGCCUCUUCCAGCUUUCAGAGGCUGCCUGCAUUCUUUGGUUCCUUCCUCUAAUCUUCAAAACCAGCAGCUAAGCAUCUUUUCUCCUCUCUGACUUCCUGCUGCCCUCUUAAAAGGACCCUUGUGAUUAAAUCAGAUCCACUCAAAUAAUAUGAGAUAAUCUCAAGAUCCUCAACUUAAUAACAUCUGC
rnacentral:lncRNA from 1 species